UAAGCUGAAACAACCUACCUUACACAUCGCAAGUGAAUCAAACAUUUUUUCGUGCGUUUCUUGGUCUGAAUCAAGUAACUGUGAGACGAAUCCGCAAGUCGAGGAAUAAUUUGUUAACAAGUGCGCUUUGAUUGACCUUGAAAUAGUUAAACAUUAAGUUCUAAAGAAUGGUCAACCUGGGAAUGGCGCGCGAAUUAUGGAUUUGCACGCGUUUUGCACGGAACCGGCUUACUUUGUCGUCGCCGACACGAAAGACACCGGAGAUAUCAACGAGUAUCAAUUAUUCGCAAAAAUUUGGCUGUACCGAAUUUUACAGUAAAAAUAAAACUGAGGAUAGACGGCUACCGUCUCUGAAUUUGCUGUCCUCUGUGCCUACACAUGGCAUUGCAAGCUCUGCCGUAAGUUUAGCAAAAAAUAAAGACCGCGGCAAAGAGAAGAAAGGGUCGGCAAAAGUACAAGUAAACCUUAACGAAUUGUCACAAGUUGUGGACGUUGACCAUCUCACUUCGCAAAUGCAGAAAGCAUUGGAUGGUCUGAAAACUAAUUACACAAAAAACUUGACGCUAAGAUCGUCAAUUGGUGCUGUAGAGGAACUUCCAGUUACCUUUGAAGGUAGAGAGUACAAAUUACAAGAGUUAGCGCAGACCGCGAGAAAGCCAAAGAUGGUGGUUAUCAACAUCUCUGCCUUUCCACAAGCAAUACCGAACAUAAUUAAGGCAAUAUCAAAAAGUGGAAUGAAUCUAAAUCCGCAACAGGACGGUACGACGCUUUUUGUACCUACCCCAAAAAUAACUAAGGAACACAGAGAAAAAUUGGCGAAAAACGCAAAGACCUUAUUUAUUGAGGCACGAGACCACGUCAAGGAUAUUCAAUUACGUUGCAUUAAAUCGUUGAAAAAUAAACCUGGAAUAUCCGAAGACACGCUGCGGAGCACGCAGACUCAAAUUCAAGCCUUAGCCGAUAAGUACAUCAGCGAGGCCGACGAAAUAUUCAAAACGAAGCACAAGGAGCUGCUGGGAGACUCCGAAUAAUGAGUCGAUUAUCUCGCAGCCUAUUAGGUGGUUCAAAUAAUUGUUCUUUCAAUAACGAGAGAAAAAUAAUAAUUCGUUUCAUCGACCGGCGAAUUUUAAUCAUACGUCUUUGUACAGAUAUAUAGAUGGGCAAUUAAAACUACGAUGUCGGAAGAUUAACUCAUUUUAUCUCCUCUAUUACACCAGAUGUUCCAUUUCUCUGCUUCGAAUGUUAUAUACUUUUCGUUAUCACGCGGAAACCUUCCGCAUAAUCGAUGCUCAGUUUACGAAAAUUGAGGCAGUGCAGCCUUCUCAUCUUCUCGAUGCAUUUGCCAGCAGCCUUCCCGCCCCUUGCGGGAUGAGGAUCGCAGCGGCAGUGUAUAAGCUGCAGAGAUUGGGCAAACAAUUCUGCGCUCAGCAUUCUGUGCAGGGGCCG
rnacentral:misc_RNA from 1 species